rnacentral:rRNA from 1 species
GAUGAACGCUGGCGGCACGUCUGACACAUGCAAGUCGAACGGUAGGGAGCAAUCCCGAGAGUGGCGAACGGCUGAGUAACACGUAGGAACCUACCCCCUGGUUCGGGACAACGGUCCGAAAGGACCGCUAAUACCGGAUAAUACCGAAAGGUUGAAAGGUUUACUGCCUGGGGAGGGGCCUGCGGCGUAUUAGCUUGAUGGUAGGGUAACGGCCUACCAUGGCGAUGAUGCGUAGCUGGUCUGAGAGGAUGAUCAGCCAGACUGGGACUGAGACACGGCCCAGACACCUACGGGAGGCUG